rnacentral:rRNA from 1 species
CAGGCCUAACACAUGCAAGUCGAGCGCCCCGCAAGGGGAGCGGCGGACGGGUGAGUAACGCGUGGGAACGUACCCUUUGCUACGGAAUAGCCUCGGGAAACUGGGAGUAAUACCGUAUGUGCCCUUCGGGGGAAAGAUUUAUCGGCAAAGGAUCGGCCCGCGUUGGAUUAGGUAGUUGGUGGGGUAAUGGCCUACCAAGCCGACGAUCCAUAGCUGGUUUGAGAGGAUGAUCAGCCACACUGGGACUGAGACACGGCCCAGACUCCUACGGGAGGCAGCAGUGGGGAAUCUUAGACAAUGGGCGCAAGCCUGAUCUAGCCAUGCCGCGUGAGCGAUGAAGGCCUUAGGGUUGUAAAGCUCUUUCAGUGGGGAAGAUAAUGACUGUACCCACAGAAGAAGCCCCGGCUAACUCCGUGCCAGCAGCCGCGGUAAUACGGAGGGGGCUAGCGUUGUUCGGAAUUACUGGGCGUAAAGCGCACGUAGGCGGACUGGAAAGUCAGAGGUGAAAUCCCAGGGCUCAACCUUGGAACUGCCUUUGAAACUCCCGGUCUUGAGGUCGAGAGAGGUGAGUGGAAUUCCGAGUGUAGAGGUGAAAUUCGUAGAUAUUCGGAGGAACACCAGUGGCGAAGGCGGCUCACUGGCUCGAUACUGACGCUGAGGUGCGAAAGCGUGGGGAGCAAAC